rnacentral:rRNA from 1 species
CCAACAGCGUAUAUUAAAGUUGUUGCAGUUAAAAAGCUCGUAGUUGAACUUCGGGGUUCACCCAUUGGUCAGGCUUAAUUGUCUGUACUGGUGAGAUGAGUCUCUACCUUCUGAGGAACUUUCAUGUCAUUAAUUUGGUGUGAUGGGAAAUCAGGACUGUUACUUUGAAAAAAUUAGAGUGUUUAAAGCAGGCUAACGUCUGAAUACAUUAGCAUGGACUAAUGAAAUAGGACGGACUGAUUCUAUUUCGUUGGUUUCUAGGAUCACCGUAAUGAUUAAUAGGGAUAGUUGGGGGCAUUAGUAUUCAAUUGUCAGAGGUGAAAUUCUUGGAUUUAUUGAAGACUAACUACUGCGAAAGCAUUUGCCAAGGAUGUUUUCAUUAAUCAAGAACGAAAGUUAGGGGAUCGAAGACGAUCAGAUACCGUCGUAGUCUUAACCAUAAACUAUGCCGACUAGGGAUCGGACGAAGUUAAUUUUAUAAUGACGCGUUCGGCACCUUACG